rnacentral:lncRNA from 1 species
UUCCCCCAUGAUGUCAAUGGCUUCUGUUGGAGAAAUCUUCUUGAAGUGUUUUAAAGUUGACAAAACGUUUCCAUCAGUCUAGUCUGAAGGUUUGCAGAUUCUGCUAUUUAAAGUCUGAAGACCGCCGGACAGCCAGACUCAAGACUCAAAGUCUAUCCUCAUUGACAGUCUCUAAUCCGUUGAAGAAAGCUUAUCCAGAACUGGAUGUUUCGUUAAGGAUAUGAUCUUAUUAACUGGAGAAGAUCUCGUGGCUGGAAAAGACAUAACGGAAUCCUUUGAUUGAUCGAGAUUGACUCAAUAAUUGAAGAUCCGGUGAUUGCCUGAAUAUUCUUGGAAGGUUCUACUUAUGGAAACCGAGAUCCUGAUUAUAUGGGCGAACAUGAUUGAUGGGCUAUCGACACGUUCCUUUAAUAGCUCGAAUAAUCUUCCUAAUUGAUUCCGUCCAACGGGUAGAUUGGAGGAAUUCCUUUGGUAAGUGCCAACGGGUAUGAUGGCAUAAAGGAGUAUAUAAGAAAGACGUUCUAAGUUGUUCGAGGUGUGCGCGAUAGAAGAAUUCCAAAGUCUAAAGCUCUUUGUUGUUUAGACAAUUCCUUUGAGCGAAACCUUGUAUACAAAAGAGAGUCUAUAUUUGUGAGAAACCUUGAGGAGGUGUGAUAGAACAUCUACACUGUGGAAUCAAGGAAAAGCUGUGCUGUAACUACUCUUUUGUUCAUAGUGAAAUCCAGCCGGUGGGCUGUCAGUGCGGAAGAGUGGACGUAGGCUUGGAAUAAGCCGAACCACUUCAAUUAUCUCUUCCUUACUCUCUUUACUUUGAUCAUACUUCAUUUCGUUAAUCAAUAGUGAACUUCCUUUCUAUCAGUUGCCUAGAAUUGCUUUCGUAUCUCGAUAAAUUGUUUGUGCACCUAUUCACCCCCCCUCUAGGUGCUUAUACUAGCUAUCUUAAUUGGUAUCAGAGCUCGUGUACUCACUUUGUUUGAAGUGUUUUACUUCAGAGUUAAAGAUCCAUGGCUAGUAUGUUGGCUCCAGGGCUGGUAGAAGGGCAAAACAACACCAGACCGCCUUACUUUGAUGGAAAUGACUACAACAUAUGGAAAAACAAGAUGAAGGCGUUCUUAAGAUCAAAGGAUCCUCUGGAAUGGGACGUUGUAGAAAAAAGAAUCGUUCCUAAAGCUGUUCCUGUCUCAGAAAGAGGAAAAGACACUGUUGAGUCUAGUGAAAUGACUCAGGAAGAGAUAAUCAAGAGACAAGCUCUUGAUGCAAAAGCAAUUUAUUCUUUAUAUUGUGCUUUAUCACCUACUGAAUAUAACAGAAUAUCUUCUUGUGAUACAGCCAAAGAAGUCUGGGAUAGAUUACACAUUACAUAUGAAGGAACCGAUCGAGUGAAAGAGACUAGAAUCAACAUUCUUCUCGGUCAAUAUGAAGCCUUCAGAAUGAAACCUGGAGAAUCUAUAACUGACAUGUUUAGUCGUUUUACAGAAAUCGUGAAUGGUCUUGAAAAUCAAGGUCGACCAAUUUCUGAUCCCAUGAAAGUAAACAAGCUACUGUGUGGACUCUCCAAGGAUUGGAAUCACAUAAAGACCUCAAUCAAAGAGACUCAAAGAAUCAUGCCACUGUCUGUCGAUGAGUUGGUUGGGACUCUUUGAUAACUCUAUAAAAAUAGAGUUAUUUUACCUAUUUUAGGCAGUAAUUAAUGCAUUAUUUGUGAGAAAAUAUUUGGAUUUCCUUCUGAUUAUUUGAAUUUUCCUUGUUUAUGCAGAAUAAUGAGAUAUUGAGAGGAUAAGGAAAAGAAUGUCAACUAUCAGGAAUUCAAAUAAAAGCAGCAGUGGAAGAUAGAUAUCAAAUCAGGAAAUUCUUGAUUUUGUUCCCUAAUGUUAUCUGCAAGCGUUGGGAGAUAGAUAUUUUAGAUUUCCUAUAAAUAGGAAGAGAGAGCAGCUAGGGUUAGAGUUAGAUCAUUUUUUUUUUAUUCCUUUGAGAGUUUUUUCAAGUAUUUUGAAGAGAAGAUAAAAGUGGUGACAGAAUUCUUGUCUUUUGAUUCAAGAUGCUGGGUUUGAUCUAUAUUUUUAUUUUUAUUUUUUCUUCUACUAUGUUCUAAUUUUCUUUUGUUAGGGCUACGAUGUAGCCUAACCAUGAUGAUGUGAAUUUCAUGAUUUUUAUGUUUUACAAUUGAUUUCAUUCAUGUGAGUUAUAUAUUAUUGCGUUUAAUGCUUUUGAGUGACUGGCCACCACUUGAAUGAUCUGAUGUGCAUGUUUGAGACUGAGAGGUGAUAAUAUGCAAUUGCUCAUUAUAAUAUAUAACCAUGAAUUAAACGUGGAUAGAAAUAUACUGCGUUAUUUGUGUAGCUUUCGGUGAUAAGGUGAUCCAAAAGACUCAUUGUAAAUCGGGAAUAUUCAUAGUUUUUAAUGCACUCAUGUUUAUUUUAAUUCACAUAGAGAUAUAGUGGAUUAAUAAGCUGAGUAGGUUUGCUAUACCUAGAGAUAGGAUAGUAAAUAGGUUAGGAAAUUCCGCUAUCACAUGUUAGAUAUCGUUCUUGUACUCAUAACAAUAUGAAAUUCAUAUCUAGUGAUUAUGGUGAAAUCGUAUGCUUUAACAUAUUUAUCUGAUUGAUUUUACUGCAUUUAGUCUUCAAAGUCUUCAAGUUUCGUUUUUAAUUUAUUAUUAAUUAUAUUUUGAUCUGUUAGAUAAAUUUUAGAAUUAAUCUAUUUUAGUAUUUAAUUAGUUUAUUAAUCAUCGAUCUCCGUUGGACGAUACUUUAUCUCAUCAUUAUAUUACUUGUUUAAUACGUGCACUUGCGUUUAGAAUUUUACGAACAAGUUUUUGGCGCUGUUGUUGGGGAUCGUUUGUUUAAUACUAAUUAAUAUUGAUACCAGAUAAUUCUAAGUUUAAUCUAGCUUUCGUUUUGUUUUAUUUUUCAGGGUGUACAUCGAUUUAUGACACGUAGCCAACAAGGGAAACUUGUUGAGCUUGAUCCAGAAAUCGAGCGUACAUUCAAAAGGCGACUAAGAGAACAGAGAAAUCACGCUAAGAUGGCAGACGGUGAGAAUGAAAAUCCACGUAGACUCUUAAGAGAUUAUGCUGCGCCAACAGUUCAAGGCACCACAUCAAGUAUCAGAAGACCUGCAAUUCAAGCAAACAACUUUGAGAUUAAGCCGUCACUUAUUCAGAUGCUUCAACAAUCAGUGCAAUUCAGUGGGCUACCAAGCGAUGAUCCAAAUGCUCCUUUUGGAUACUCAAUGGGUUGAAAAUUUUUAUGUUAUAUUUGGAGGGACUUUGGGAGAAACUCCACCAUAAAGCAAUUCUAAAAAAAAAAAAAAAAGAGAAAAGAGAGAGAGAGAGAAAAGGAAAGAAAAAAAAAAGAAUGAUGAUAUAUGGCGGCAGAAAAAUUAUCUUGAAGGAGUGAAAUUAGACAGUGACAUUGGCUCUAAUUAGAUCCUCGAAAUCAACGUGUUGAUGGGUGAUUUGAGCUUAAAAUUGCCAUUAUCUCACCUUUAGCCUAGCCUUACAUUACAACCCGAGAAAAGUCCUAUUGAUUUUUGGUUGGAUGAUUAACUUACAUUAGUGGAGAGAGGAAUGAAAAGCAAACAUAUGAGAUUUGGUCAUAAUUAUUGAGAAUUUUUGAAAGGUUGCAUGUUAAUGUGAAUUUAUUUGGAUUGCAUAUAAUUCGAAAAAGAUGAGGACUCUCACACACACACUUGGAUCAUAUAGUUAGAAUUGGUCUUAACUUAUAAAUCGAUUUCAAUGUUUGGAUGAAAUUUGUGUUUUUCUUUUAAUUGUGAAUUUGAGCAAUUAUGGAAAGAUGUCAUGGAGAAGGUUGUUAGGUUGAGUAUGUGUUAUGUCUUACUUUUGCUCGAGGACUAGCAAAAUGUUAAGUUUGGGGGUUUGAUAACUCUAUAAAAAUAGAGUUAUUUUACCUAUUUUAGGCAGUAAUUAAUGCAUUAUUUGUGAGAAAAUAUUUUGAUUUCCUUCUGAUUAUUUGAAUUUUCCUUGUUUAUGCAGAAUAAUGAGAUAUGGAGAGGAUAAGGAAAAGAAUGUCAACUAUCAGGAAUUCAAAUAAAAGCAGCAGUGGAAGAUAGAUAUCAAAUCAGGAAAUUCUUGAUUUUGUUCCCUAAUGUUAUCUGCAAGCGUUGGGAGAUAGAUAUUUUAGAUUUCCUAUAAAUAGGAAGAGAGAGCAGCUAGGGUUAGAGUUAGAUCGUUUUUUUUUUAUUCCUUUGAGAGUUUUUCAAGUAUUUUGAAAAGAAGACAAAAGUGGUGACAGAAUUCUUGUCUUUUGAUUCAAGAUGCU